rnacentral:rRNA from 1 species
UACAGAGGUCUCAAGCGUUGUUCGGAUUCAUUGGGCGUAAGGGGUGCGUAGGCGGCGCGGUAAGUCGGGUGUGAAAUUUCGGAGCUUAACUCCGAAACUGCAUUCGAUACUGCCGUGCUUGAGGACUGGAGAGGAGACUGGAAUUUACGGUGUAGCAGUGAAAUGCGUAGAGAUCGUAAGGAAGACCAGUGGCGAAGGCGGGUCUCUGGACAGUUCCUGACACUGAGGCACGAAGGCCAGGGGAGCAAACGGG